rnacentral:rRNA from 1 species
AUAGCUUCAGCGAUGGAUCGGUCGAUUCGCGUAUCGAUGAAAAACGCAGCUAGCUGCGUUAUUUACCACGAAUUGCAGACGAUUAGAGUGGUAAAAUUUUGAACGCAUAGCGCCGAUGGGUUUUCCCUCCGGCACGUCUGGUUCAGGGUUGUU